rnacentral:rRNA from 1 species
CCGAAUGAGGAAACUCACUUAGAGUAAUGUCUAAGUAUCAUUAAGUGAAUACAUAGCUUAAUGAGGGGAACUCAGGGAACUGAAACAUCUAAGUACCUGAAGGAAGAGAAAGAAAUUCGAUUCCGUAAGUAGCGGCGAGCGAACGCGGAUUAGCCCAAACCAAUAAAGUUUUCUUUAUUGGGGUUGCGGACAUAUCAUAACGAAGAGGUAUCGUAAUUGAAGAGGUUUGGAAAGACCCACCACAGAAGGUAAUAGUCCUGUAUGUUAAACGAGAAGACUUUAGAUAUGAUCCAGAGUACCACGGGACACGUGAAACCCUGUGGGAAGCAGGAGGGACCACCCUCCAAGGCUAAAUACUACCUAGUGACCGAUAGCGUAUAGUACCGUGAGGGAAAGGUGAAAAGAACCCCGGGAGGGGAGUGAAAUAGAACCUGAAACCCUGCACUUACAAGCUGUGGAAGCACAUUUCUUGUGUGACCGCGUACUUUUUGUAGAACGGGCCAACGAGUUACGUUAAGUAGCAAGGUUAAGCACUUAAGGUGUGGAGCCGUAGCGAAAGCGAGUUUUAACUGAGCGUUCAGUUACUUGACGUAGACCCGAAACCGGGCGACCUACCCAUGAGCAGGAUGAAGCGAAAGUAAAAUUUCGUGGAGGUCCGAACCCACGAGCGUUGAAAAGCUCGGGGAUGACUUGUGGGUAGCGGUGAAAUUCCAAUCGAGCCCGGAGAUAGCUGGUUCUCCCCGAAAUAGCUUUAGGGCUAGCCUCAAGGUGAGAGAUACGGAGGUAGAGCACUGAAUGUCCUAGGGGGUAUUGCACCUACCGAAGACUAUCAAACUCCGAAUGCCGUCAUCUUAUACUUGGGAGUCAGACUGUGGGUGAUAAGAUUCAUAGUCGAAAGGGCAACAGCCCAGAUCGUCAGCUAAGGUCCCUAAAUGUAAGUUAAGUGGUAAAGGAUGUGGGAUUGCACAGACAACCAGGAUGUUGGCUUAGAAGCAGCCACUCAUUCAAAGAGUGCGUAAUAGCUCACUGGUCGAGUGAUCCUGCGCCGAAGAUUUCCGGGGCUAAAACUUACUACCGAAGCUACGGCAUCAGUAAUGAUGGGUAGGGGAGCUUCCCAUACGGGUUGAAGCAUGACCGUAAGGACAUGUGGACAGUAUGGGAGUGAGAAUGUUGGCAUGAGUAGCGAGAUGUGGGUGAGAAUCCCACAGGCCGUAAACCCAAGGUUUCCAGGGGAAGGUUCGUCCGCCCUGGGUUAGUCGGGACCUAAGCUGAGGCCGAAAGGCGUAGGUGAUGGACAACAGGUUGAUAUUCCUGUACUACCGAUAACCGUUUGAGAGAAGGGAUGACACAGUAGGAUAAGCUAAGCACACUGUUGGUUAUGUGUGCCCAAGCAUUGAGGCAGUCAAAGUAGGCAAAUCCGCUUUGAUAAUGCUGGGAUGUGAUGGGGAGCGAAAUUUAGUAGCGAAGUAGCUGAUUUCACACUGUCAAGAAAAGUCUCUAUCGAGGUUAAAGGUACCCGUACCGCAAACCGACACAGGUGGGUGAGGAGAGUAUCCUAAGGCCAGCGAGAGAACUGUUGUUAAGGAACUCGGCAAAAUGACCCCGUAACUUAGGGAUAAGGGGUGCCACCAUCAGGUGGCCGCAGAGAAUAGGCCCAAGCGACUGUUUACCAAAAACAUAGGUUUCUGCUAAGUCGCAAGACGAUGUAUAGGAGCUGACGCCUGCCCGGUGCUGGAAGGUUAAGGGGAUCUGUUAGAGCAAUCGAAGCAGUGAACUUAAGCCCCAGUAAACGGCGGCCGUAACUAUAACGGUCCUAAGGUAGCGAAAUUCCUUGUCGGGUAAGUUCCGACCCGCACGAAAGGCGUAACGAUUUGGGCACUGUCUCAACAACAGACUCGGUGAAAUUGUAAUUCCGGUGAAGAUGCCGGAUACCUGCGACAGGACGGAAAGACCCCAUGGAGCUUUACUGUAGCUUGACAUUGGGUCUUGGUACUACAUGUACAGGAUAGGUGGGAGGCUUUGAAACCAGGACGCCAGUUUUGGCGGAGCCAUCCUUGGGAUACCACCCUUGUAGUACUGGGACUCUAACCAUAGGCCAUGAAUCUGGUCUUGGGACACUGUCAGGUGGGCAGUUUGACUGGGGCGGUCGCCUCCCAAAAGGUAACGGAGGCGCUCAAAGGUUCUCUCAGUACGGUCGGAAAUCGUACGUAGAGUGUAAAGGCAAAAGAGAGCUUGAUUGCAAGACAUACAGGUCGAGCAAGGAUGAAAAUCGGACUUAGUGAUCCGGUGGUUCUGCGUGGAAGGGCCAUCGCUCAACGGAUAAAAGCUACCCUGGGGAUAACAGGCUUAUCUCCCCCAAGAGUCCACAUCGACGGGGAGGUUUGGCACCUCGAUGUCGGCUCAUCACAUCCUGGGGCUGUAGUAGGUCCCAAGGGUUGGGCUGUUCGCCCAUUAAAGUGGUACGCGAGCUGGGUUCAGAACGUCGUGAGACAGUUCGGUCCCUAUCCGUCGCAGGCGUAGGAAAUUUGAGAAGACCUGUCCUUAGUACGAGAGGACCGGGAUGGACGUACCUCUGGUGUACCAGUUGUCCUGCCAAGGGCAUGGCUGGGUAGCUAUGUACGGAAUGGAUAAGCGCUGAAAGCAUCUAAGCGCGAAGCCAACUUCAAGAUAAGAUUUCCCACCGCAAGGGUAAGACCCCAGAAAGACUAUCUGGUUGAUAGGUCGAAGGUGUAAGUGCAGCAAUGUAUUUAGCUUAUCGAUACUAAUAGGUCGAGGACUUGACCAA